CUCACCAUGGGAUGGAGCUGUAUCAUUCUCUUUCUUGUGUCAGUAACUACAGGUGUCCACUCCCAGGUCCAGCUGCGGCAGUCUGGGGCUGAACUGGUGAGACCUGGGUCCUCAGUGAAGUUGUUCUGCAAGGCUCCAGGUUACACCUUCACUUACUACGUCAUGCACUGGAUGAAGCAAAAAACUGGACAGGGCCUAGAGUGCAUUGGAGUCAUUAAUCCUGAAAAUGGUAAUACUGAUUGCAAUCAGAAGUUCAAGGGAAAGGCUACACUGACUGCAGACACAUUCUCUAGCACAGCCUAUAUGGAGCUUAGCAGCCUGACAUCUGAGGACUCUGCAGUCUAUUACUGUUGGACACACAGUGUUGUAACCACAUCCUGA